GCUGAGGCUAUUUUUACCCAGACCUGUGCAAACAGAGGCAUGAGCUGGUCUGGCCAGUUCCUCCCCUUCCUUGGCACCUGGCCUGGAAGUCCCUUACCAAGGGCACAAGCAGCAAACUUUGACAGGAGGAUGCCCGUGCGCAGAACCCACAACCCAGUUUCUUCAAAAGAGAGCCUGCAAGGAAAAGAGAAGCACAGGCAGAGAGAUUGAGGGGAGUCUCUGUAUGAAAUUUGAAUGUGUGAAUCUCUGUAUUUAAGCAAACAACUGGUAAAAAUAAAUAAAUUAUCAAUCAAAGCACUUACAAGGCAAGGAAUGAAAAUUAAAUAAUGAUUGGAUAUUGAAUGCUA